rnacentral:lncRNA from 1 species
AAUAGAUAGAUUUUCCUAUUGAUCUGAAUUUUAUAUUAAAAUUUUUCGACGGAGAUAAUAAGGAAAAUUAUGUUAUAAAAUUUUUUAAUAUGAUAAAUUCGAUAUUUGGUGCUUGCUAUAUAAUGCUUCCAGACGGUUUGUUCGAAUUUUUUAUAUUUUUAUUUUUUUUCUGAUGCUGGAAAAGUAACUGAGUGUAGAUCAUUAUCAAAUGCAUCAAUGCAAGGCCAAAUACCACAUGCGAUAGAGUUUGGAAUUUAAUGUGAUAUAUUUGUUUAUGUUAAAUUCUCCCUGAGAAAUGUAGAAUGAUUAAAAGAUGCAUUGUAAAAUUUUCGUGUUGUGCUUUAAUUGCAACGAAAAAAAAAAUGAUUUUUUAUAAGUUCUUUUUUUUUAUUAUUUUUUAAAUCGAUGCGAAUGGAAUGGUAUUCUUAUGCGGCUUUUUUAUAUCUUCUAAUGAUUUGAAAAUAGAGGAAGAUCUUUUUAGUGGAAGAUUGCACGAUCUUGCAAAGUGCUAAGAGUAGGUUAUCCAUGCACGUCAUCGAUUCUGUUAGAGCCAAAGUAAAAGCAAGUGGAGCAUGGCCUACUCUAGGUGAAGUCAGUUGUUCGAAAGCGUUAAUAAUAAAGCGUUGACACGAAUUGUGGCACUGGGAUGCGAAUGUCAAUGGUUGAUCCUGAGCCAAAUUACACAGAUUCUAUUCACAAUACUUUUCUUGGUGUUAAUAAUUACGUGUCUUCAGUCUUAUAUCUUGAAAGAUAGGGAUCCGAUUAGCUAUCGUCUUCCUUUAAGUCUGGCUUUUAGCCAAGCAGAGGUGUCUCUGCCUAGCUCUAUUCUUUGUAUCACAACUGUUGUAUAACAGUACAAUAUUGUCGCUGAUUGAAACAUAUAGAGCCACAUUGUCCUCUUUCUUUAAGCUCCAUCUCUUCAUCCGCAAGUUGUGAUGCUCUUUUCGUAUUUUCUUUGCAUCAGUGCUUCUGUUCGGGGUGACUUGAGCGUUGACUAUGAACAGUGCUUCACGUGUCAUAUUUCACCACCUUAUUGUGGCUACUACGUGCACCGUUUCAGCUAUCCACUCUUCUCUGUCCGACUCCAUGGCUACAUUGCUGAUUGGUCCUGGAUACAUGCCAGGACCUCCCUUGUUUUCAACAUCCAUCCCCAUCCAUUCUGAACAUGUUUCGAGGUUUCUUCGCAUAUUCUUGAUUUUUCAUUUUUUAUAUAUCGUUUUAAAGAAGGUCUUACUUUGUAACAAUAUCAAGAGAAUGAAUGACCGUGCUGGAAUUUCAGCAUUUGUCUUGAUUGAUUAAGGCUUGUUGUGCCACAGUUCUAGCGAUCUGCCAUUGUUGUUUGGUAAUCGUUUUAAUGAAAGAUGGUGAUAAUCAUUUAUGGCUAUACUAUUCUUUAUCCGUACAAUUUACAAAGAAAAAUUAUUGCCAACCUACUUUGGUAAUUAAAUUC